rnacentral:rRNA from 1 species
GACGAGGCACUACGGUGCUGAAGCAACAAAUGCCCUGCUUCCAGGAAAAGCCUCUAAGCAUCAGGUAACAUCAAAUCGUACCCCAAACCGACACAGGUGGUCAGGUAGAGAAUACCAAGGCGCUUGAGAGAACUCGGGUGAAGGAACUAGGCAAAAUGGUGCCGUAACUUCGGGAGAAGGCACGCUGACACGUAGGUGAAGUGAUUUACUCACGGAGCUGAAGUCAGUCGAAG